rnacentral:lncRNA from 1 species
AAGCCACAUGGCAGAUGGAGAUGGAGGGUGUCUUUCCUAUCCUUUCUACCAAUUCACUGGUCCUAACUCAUCAAGAAACCAGUGAGCUUUCUUCCUAGAACUUACAGUUGACCGCACUAAGGCCGUAUCAUUUUCCUAUUUAGCAUGAUGUAUUAUAAGAUUCUCAGGGAAAAUAUUUGCCUUGCGUAAUGAUCACAGGCAGGAAAUGUUUUUCUUUAUAGAGGGCUAUUCGCUAGCAAACCAGCCAUGCCUAUCUGUUUCUGGCAAAAGAAUGAAAAAUACAUAAAUAAAAGGAAAGUGUAGUUUAAUAUUAUGCUUUGGAUUAAUUCUAAUUGAUCCUGGAGCAUUUAGAACCUAACUCUGGAAAGGUUAACAUAUGAAGUAAAGCUCCUGAAAAAUAAAUGACUCUUAUAUUGACGCUUUGAUGGCUAUGACAUCUCUGGGCUUAAUAGCCUUUUUAUCCAGAAAGGUCCCCAAAUUGAAUGUGAAGAUGGAGCAGAGAUUUAGCUCAUUAUCAUUUGUCGCAUCUCAGAUCUUGUGGGUGAUAGUCUUGUUUACUGGCAUACCAGAGCAGCUCCAAGCACUUAAUAGAAUAUAGAUGUCAUUUGGACCUAGGAAAGCUUACUUUAUAACCACCUACUGGUAAGUGUUUUUUGGCUGAAGACCAACAUCGUCUAAUAUAAACUUGGUAAAUUAAUGAACCAUUUGCUCUUCUUUUAUGACUAUUUGUAUACCCAAGUAAAUCUUGUUAUCUAGAAGGCUAUAGCUUUCACGGAGAGAGGCAUCCACAAUUUGACUGCAAAGUGUCGGUGUAUCACUUUGGCUAAAUUAAAUCAUUUUUUUCACGUAUUUUUUCUUCACAUGCUUGAUAAUUUUGAUUAAACAUAUUUCUGUGGAUAAUGCUUUGAGAGACAGAAGUUUCAAUGAGAUAAUUCAUUAUGCAGGAAAGUUUAAGGUCAUUAUUCAAUGAACAAUGAUGAUUUAUUUAACUUUGGGUGUGGGAGAGGAAUCAAACAUGUAAGCUCCAUCAAAAUAAGCAUGAUGUCAUCUCUCACUCAUCUCCUCUGCUAACAUAGGGCCAGGCAUAUGCUUGUCAGAUGCUUGUCCAAAAGUUCAAGGCUAAUGGUGAUGCCAAAUUAUGGGUCAGGGCUUUACUGUUCAGUGAUCCUAUACUUCUUAUAGUGGUGUAAGCAGACUAUGGAUUGCUUGGGGAGAAUAAUACCCUUGCUUUAGUUUAUAAAUGCUGUUGAUUGAGGUAAAUGCCCAAUAGUUAAUUUGAAGUAAAAUUCUUCAGAGCAAGCCAGAAGAAUGGUGUCACUCUGUACGUGGCUGAUUUCUAAGUCUUAUUUUGUUGCUCUAGAAGGACAUUUUGAAACAGACACCAUGCAGAAUCCUCUGAUUAAAUUAUUUUAAAGGCAAAUCUUUUUUUUUUUUUAAAAACACCCAUCUAAUUAAUAUUCUGUUUUUAACUUACAUAAUCCAUAUUCAAUUGCUUAAUGAGCUUUUGAUCUUCAGAAUGUUCCUUGUAUGUACUUGAAGGUGAAUUGAAAACAAAAGUAAUAGAAAACUAUAGUGAAUAUCCAUACUAUAUAAAGGUCAUUCAAUAAAUAAUCAAUACUUUAUAUAGAUACAUACACAUAGAUACAGUGGAUAUAUAUUUAUGUAUGUUAAUUAUUAGAGGAUAUCUAUAUUGAAAUUGGAUUCAAGGAAAAGUACAUAAUAUGAGCUUUAACAGCUGAUAUAACUCCCAGAACCAGACUGAGAAGAAGCAGUGCAUUGAUUAUAUGUAUACAGUUAUAAAGUAACAUAGUAGAGAUUUUCCUUCUAAUAACAUUAACAUGUUCUCAAAUGAUGUAACUCAGUUUUUACAUGAAAUACAAGCACAGUCAUCUGUCAUGACAAUGAAAAUCAAGAAUUCUCCAAUGGACUAUUCAUAUCGAAAUCCUUACAUAGGUGCUAUAAAUAGCAACAAAUAUUUAUUUGAUAGAUUAAUUUAUUGGUAAUAAUAGCAUACUUUCAAAAAAAUGAAAGAGGAGUUCCCAUUGUGGCUGAGCAGGUUAAGAACCUGACAUAGUGUUCAUGAGAAUGCAGGUUUGAUCCAUAUGUCAGAUUCUUAAUCUGCUCAGCCUCAACAGGAACUCCUCCUUCAUUUUUUUUUUUAAUAGUGGCUCAGCCAAAUGACAACAUUUAUUUUGCCUACCAUUCCCCAGCAUCAAAAUGAGUAAACUGUGAAUUCCACCAAAUACCUAACUAGGAAUUUAUUUUAUAGUGUCUGACUCUGGAAAAAAAAAGAUGCAGUAAAUUCAUAUGUUCUACAAAAGCCACUCUGAGAUAACAGACAGUAAAUUUGCUUUUAAAAAAUAUGUCCAGACUUUGUUGUUCAUCUUUACCCUAUGAUGAAGAACUGAGAAGCACAUGCUUGGAUAUGAACAACUUCAAGGGAAAAAAAAUGUCUCUCUAUGAGUACAAUAUGGUGAUAGGGUGCUUCCAUAUCUAGUCAGGAAAAGAAGUCUGCUUUUGUAUUUGCAUAAAUGGUUGUUAGCUUUGCAUCCAGUCGUCUUACUAGUCAAAGGCAUAGAGAUAUCUAUAGUUCAGCAUAGGAUUAUUUUUUUCCCUUCCUGCCACGCCCUCGCCAUAUCGAAGUUCCAAGGCCAGGGACUGAAUCCAAGCUCCAACUGCAACCUGUGUCACAGCUGCAGCAAUGCUGGAUCCUUAGCCCACUAUGGUGGGCCAGGGAUCAGACCCAUGUAGCCACAAAGACAUUGCUGGAGCCUUAAUCUGCUGUGCCACAGUGGGAACUCCCAAGCAUAGGAUUUUGAAUUAAUCUUGAUUUGAUGGUUAUUGAGUUUCCAAACAUUUUGUAGAAUACUUUUAGCUAUUCUAUUUUAAAUGGGGUUUUUAUUAUAAAUUACUUCAAAUCAUCUUGAAAAUGUCCAUCAUGUAUAUUAUGUAUAUACCAUGUUCAUACCUGUUUAUGUGACAAGAUGUAUACAUUUAUUAUGAUGUCUAGUCAUGCAGUUUUUUUCCUUUUUUUGCAUUAAUGUCUAUUCAUAGAAUUUUGAGACUUUGGGAAAGUUCCUUAUAAGAGAAAAGAUAGACAGUGGAUCUUGAAACAUGAAUAGGACUUAGGUACAUACAUAUUUACUCAGCAUGUUGGAUGCAAUUCACUGGAUCCUGUCUUAUUCAUGGCGGAAUAGAAUGGUCUGGAUUUCCUCAGUGAAGAUGUAAUUGAAAAAGUGGAAAUAUAAUAGAGAACAUUCAAACACUCACAGACUGGAAUAAAUAACCUGGAAAGCUGGCUGUUCUAUGACAUAUUUUUUGAGAUCUUUCGCAGCCUGUAGUAAUUAAUAUAGAUGCUUAAGAUAUGGUCAAAAAGGGAAUUAAUCAUUACAAGUAAAGUAAGUAAAAUUUAGAAUUUUAUUCCUUUUUUAGUUAUUUAUUUUCUAUUUCAUAUCUAAAACUUUGUCAUAUUAAUAAAGGCCAUUUUUGAUCUUGAUCCACAUAUUUCUAAUUAAUUCAUUUAAGAUUAUUUAUUAAAGAUAGUGCUUAUAAAUAUGGCAUACACUUCAUUUAUCCCAAUCCUUGCUUAAGUCAUCUUACUAACUUAGUAGUCUUUAUUGAAACAGAAUUGCUUCUCAAUGAUUGCCUUGUCUUAAUUAUAGACUGACUUGCAUUUUUUGGAAUAUAUAAACUUGGGGUUAGAGAGGAAGCUCGUUGCAAAUGAUCUUUAGGGGCAGAUGCUGAAGAAUUCUUUGGACCUCAGGAAGGUAUGGACAUUAAAAAAGUAUAUCUCUUUGUUUUCCUAUUGUAAAAAUCAGAUCUUGUCAAUGCAGUAUGUCUGGGUGUUAGGAAGUCACAUUUAUUCCUUGAUUCACAUAGCAACAUGUGGAAAGACUUCACAAGACUGACACUCCUGGAUUUUCUCUAUAUCCCCUGUCCCUUCAAGAGGAGGGGUGUUCUAUCUGACUAUUGAAUUUAGGAGGAUGAAUUUACCAUGCUUUGUUCAGCGCAUCCCUUUCUCUUCCUUUGGAUCUUGCAAAAGAUGACAUAUUAUAAUCUUCUUUUGUCACCCUAGUAAUGGACUCUUUGGCAAUAAUAAGUACUGAAUUCUGAGGACAUAACUUGGCUUUGGAUAAAUUCUUUAGAGUUAGGAGUGGCCUGAAAUUCUUUGGAUUGUUUAAUGUGAGAGGCAUAUAGGGGACUUGGUGUUUUUAAUAAUCCUUUCAGUGAAAUUCAUCCCAGGCUUGAGUUGAAUGCUGACACAAUGCAGGUGGAGAAUACAACAGGAAAUGAUUUUUUUCCCUUAGGUAGAUGAAGGCCUUAGAAUCAAUUAAUAUGUUGUUCUGGCUCAUUUCAAAGCAGUCUGGGGAAAAAUCUAAACUCACUAGUUAUACCAAGAAAUACAAAAUAGGACAAUUGGUUUUGUGGAAGCAUCCUCAGGAGGAUGGAAAUAGAGGAAAAUUCUACCCUUGCUUGGCCAUGGAUGAUGUUUAAGAUGACGAGGUUAAGCGAAUACAAAGUUGGACAAUAUUAAGAGAAACAGUUAUUGUACACGCUUUGUAUUUUCCUUUUAUUUAAGCCUAAAUUCCUUGCCUUACGGGAGGCCUAAAUUAUCUGAUUGAUGACUUUGAAAGAAAUAGCUAAGCAUGCUGUACUGAUGCUUUGCACUUUGUCUCUACUCUUUCAGAUUGGUCUACUUUUAGAGAGAUUAAAAUUGGACUUGUAAUCCAUGUGGGGAUAUGCUUUUCCUUAUACUGGAGGUUAGACUGCCCAGUUUUGCCAUUAAAGAAUGAGUAUAUCUGUUUAAUGUAAGGACAUUGAGUAUUAAUAUGCACUUUGAUUGGCAAAUCUAAUGUUAUAUUGUACAAACACUUUUUUUUUUUUUACUGUAAAUUCAGCCAAUGUCUUCAUCUCCAUUUUUCUGUCUUGUAUGUACCACAAGUAGUUCAAAUCUCAGGGAGCAAAGAAAGAGGCAGUACUUAUAAGCCCCUUAAAGCCCUAGCCAUAGGUUAUGAGAGAAGAAAAAUAAAAUUAGACAGGUAGCCAUCAAUUUUAAUCCACACUAUAAUGCCUCUCUCAAGGAUGAAUAUAAGUAAAUUAGGGGUGCCUACU